AAUCAACGCUGGCGGCGUGCCUCAGACAUGCAAGUCGAACGAGAAGUCCCCUUCGGGGGAUGGAUAGUGGCGCACGGGUGAGUAACACGUGGGUAAUUUACCUUUGGGUGGGGAACAACAGCCGGAAACGGCUGCUAAUACCGCAUAAUGCAGCGGCUCCUCAUGGAGACAGUUGUUAAAGCGGGGGAUCGCAAGACCUCGCGCCUGAAGAGAAGCCCGCGGCAGAUAGCUAGUUGGUAAGGUAAUGGCUUACCAAGGCGACGAUCUGUAACCGGCCUGAGAGGGCGGUCGGUCACACUGACACUGACAUACGGGUCAGACUCCUACGGGAGGCAGCAGUCGGGAAUUUUGGGCAAUGGGCGAAAGCCUGACCCAGCAACGCCGCGUGAAGGAUGUAAGUUUUUCGGAAUAGUAAACUUACACAAGAUUGGGAAGAAUAAGUUUUGGAUAAUACCCAAACGAUGACGGUACCAUUUGUAAGCUCCGGCUAACUCCGUGCCAGCAGCCG
rnacentral:rRNA from 1 species